rnacentral:rRNA from 1 species
AGCGAACGCUGGCGGCAGGCCUAACACAUGCAAGUCGAACGAACCUUUCGGGGUUAGUGGCGGACGGGUGAGUAACACGUGGGAACGUGCCUUUAGGUUCGGAAUAACUCAGGGAAACUUGUGCUAAUACCGAAUGUGCCCUUCGGGGGAAAGAUUUAUCGCCUUUAGAGCGGCCCGCGUCUGAUUAGCUAGUUGGUUGAGGUAAUGGCUCACCAAGGCGACGAUCAGUAGCUGGUCUGAGAGGAUGAUCAGCCACAUUGGGACUGAGACACGGCCCAAACUCCUACGGGAGGCAGCAGUGGGGAAUCUUGCGCAAUGGGCUAAAGCCUGACGCAGCCAGGCCGCGUGAAUGAUGAAGGUCUUAGGAUUGUAAAAUUCUUUAACCGGGGACGAUAAUGACGGUACCCGGAGAAGAAGCCCCGGCUAACUUCGUG